AACGAACGCUGGCGGCAUGCCUAACACAUGCAAGUCGAACGAGACCUCCGGGUCUAUUUGCGGACGUCUGCGUAACGCGUGGUAACCUACCCGUAGGUUCGGUAUACCUCCCCGUAAGGUGUGCUAAUACCGGUUAAUGUCAUCCCGCCAAGGAUUUAUCGCCAUUGGAUGGGCGCUGGUUAGUUUAGCUAGUUGGUAGGGUAAAAGCCUGCCAAGGCGACGAUGCAUAGCUGGUGUGAUAGGAGGAUCAGCCAGACUUGGAAUGCGACACGGCCCAGACUCCGACGGGAGGGAGCAGUGUGGAAUACUGGACAAUGGGCGCAGGUGUGAUAAAGCCAUGCCGGGUGAGAGAUGAAGGGCUUAGGGUUGUAAAGCUGUUUUAGCCGAGAUGAUAAUGACGGUAACGGGAAAAUAAGCACCGGCUAACUACGUG
rnacentral:rRNA from 1 species